rnacentral:rRNA from 1 species
UCCACGCCCUAAACGAUGAACACUAGUCGUCGGGAUGCUAGACAUAGCAGUAAUGCAGUUAACACAUUAAGUGUGCCGCCUGGGGAGUACGGUCGCAAGAUUAAAACUCAAAGGAAUAGACGGGGACCCGCACAAGCGGUGGAGCAUGUGGUUUAAUUCGAAAAUACGCGAAGAACCUUACCUAGCCUUGACAUUGAAGAAACACACUAGAGAUAGAGUGGUGCCCUUCGGGGAAUCUGAAAACAGGUGCUGCACGGCUGUCGUCAGCUCGUGUCGUGAGAUGUUGGG